CACACAUUGACAUACAAGUAACAAACUUCAUCAAUGUGACGUACACAAUUAAAGGUUAAGUAAACUUCAUAGCUUACAGAGACACAUGAGAAUACAUACAUUGACAUACAAGUGACAAACUUCAUCAAUGUGACGUACACAAUUAAAGGUUAAGUAAACUUCAUAGCUUACAGCAACACAUGAGAAUACAUACGUUGACAUACAAGUGACAAACUUCAUCAAUGUGACGUACACAAUUAAAGGUUAAGUAAACUUCAUAGCUUACAGUAACACAUGAGAAUACACACAUUGACAUACAAGUGACAAACUUCAUCAAUGUGACGUACACAAUUAAAGGUUAAGUAAACUUCAUAGCUUACAGAGACACAUGAGAAUACAUACAUUGACAUACAAAUGACAAACUUCAUCAAUGUGACGUACAGAUCCGUACACAAUAAAGGGUUAAGUAAACUUCAUAGCUUACAGAGACACAUGAGAAUACAUACAUUGACAUACAAGUAACAAACGUCAUCAAUGUGACGUACACAAUUAAAGGUUAAGUAAACUUCAUAGCUUACAGAGACACAUGAGAAUACAUACAUUGACAUACAAGUGACAAACUUCAUCAAUGUGACGUUCACAAUUAAAGGUUAAGUAAACUUCAUAGCUUACAGUAACACAUGAGAAUACAUACAUUGACAUACAAGUGACAAACUUCAUCAAUGUGACGUACACAAUUAAAGGUUAGGUAAACUUCAUAGCUUAUAGAAACACACGAGAAUUCAUACAUUGACAUAAAUGUGACAAACUUCAUCAAUGUGACGUACAGAUCCGUACACAAUAAAAGGCUAAGUAAACUUCAUAGCUUACAGAGACACACGAAACAUAUAUACCAGACUUAAUAAACCUUAUAAUUGUUUGUAUAUAAACUAUUCGUUCAUUACCAUGUAUCAUGUUUAUUUUGUACUUAAUAUAAAUCAGGCCUUUAAAUUUCUCCUUUGAA